UCAGGAUGAACGCUGGCGGCGUGCCUAACACAUGCAAGUCGAACGGACUAUAUUUUACAGAGACUCGGUUGAAGUGAGUUAUAGUUAGUGGCGGACGGGUGAGUAACGCGUGGAGAACCUGCCCUUCAGAGGGGGAUAACACCCAGAAAUGGGUGCUAAUACCGCAUAAGCGCACGGUACCGCAUGGUACAGUGUGAAAAAACUCAGGUGCUGAAGGAUGGCUCCGCGUUGGAUUAGCCAGUUGGCGGGGUAACGGCCCACCAAAGCGACGAUCCAUAGCCGGCCUGAGAGGGUGAACGGCCACAUUGGGACUGAGACACGGCCCAGACUCCUACGGGAGGCAGCAGUGGGGAAUAUUGCACAAUGGGGGGAACCCUGAUGCAGCGACGCCGCGUGAAGGAAGAAGUAUCUCGGUAUGUAAACUUCUAUCAGCAGGGAAGAAGAAAGACGGUACCUGACUAAGAAGCCCCGGCUAACUACGUGCCAGCAGCGGC
rnacentral:rRNA from 1 species